GUUGUUUUGGUCUUGGGUGUAAUAAAAGUUGCUGCGGAGUGGAGGCCGUCGUGACAAAAGCUAUUCUGUCUGUUGUGGCAGUGAGAAGCCAUCUGAAGCAAUGCGAUCUGAUCGUUUGUGUUGGCCACCCUGACAAGCUGGCACUUCUGGAGAAACCUUUGGAGCCAGCGAGGCAGCAGCAGCACUCAGCCCUGACCCCAAACUGCACUAUUUGAGAAAAAGACGGAAGAAGAAAGACGCAGCCGAUUGCUGACCCCCUUCAAGAUGUCUGCAGUUUGACGGAUUCCCAGUUUUCCUUUAGACCAGUUUAGUUCCAGAGUCUGGAUUUCCAUUUUCCCAGUUCUGUAUAAAACAUAUUAAGUAUAUGUUAAUAAAAACAAGUUCCUGGGUUCUAA